CAGGAGCCUGACACCGAGAGCCCGCAGUCGCUGGGAGCCGCUCCAGGACACAGCCUGUGCGAGGCCUGAUGUCCGGAGUGGGGACUCAACACUGCAAGGGCCUCCGGCCCCCAGAGCAGCCUCACGGGAAGGACUCAGAAAGGAAACCAUGGAAGAAAGAACCUAGUCCUGGGCCAGCUGGGGUGGAGGAAUAGACAAUGAGCAUCAUGCCUUUCCUAGGGUGAGCAGAGUCAAAGACGACAAAAGUGGAGAGACUGAAUGAGGUGCAGCUAACAACGGGGAUUCCGAUGCAAAUCUGCUACCUCCAAAGGAAAGCAAGCCAAGGAGUCAGAAGAGGGAGGCAGUCCCAUUGCCCUGCCCUGCGCCAGGUCUCCUGUGCACGCUGGAGUGGUUGUGGGAAU